GGAACACUACUGCUUCCGCUAGACUGCCUUCUGAUUCAAACGAUUAAACUUCGUAUUUCAAAUGAAGAUCCUCAUCCCCUUUGGUCUUCUUGCUGUUGCAUUUGGACAACACUCACCUUUUUUAAGCUUAGACCACGAAGCUAUUCGCCAAGGGUUCAUCGCAGUUGACUUUAACCACGAUGGCUUGUGACGCUGGAUGAGGUGCAAGAAUUUAUUAGGAGGAAACUAGAUGUUAACGGUAACCACUCAAUUUUAAAACUCUAAAUUGUUAUAAUUCUACAAAAUAUGGAUAAUCGAGAAAAGGUUAUAGCAAUACAGCUCAACAGUAAAUAAAAGCAAUGAAACUCCAAAUAGGAAAGUUUUCUUUUCUUACUGUUUCUUAUAUUUACACGGGCCAUCGUUUGACCUAUAAUAACUAUUAA